rnacentral:rRNA from 1 species
GACGAACCGAGCGAACGUUGUUCGGAAUCACUGGGCUUAAAGGGCGCGUAGGCGGGCUGCCGCGUCCGGGGUGAAAUCCUCCGGCUCGACCGGGGAACGGCCUCGGGUACGGGCGGCCUCGAGGGGGGUAGGGGCGUGCGGAACUGUGGGUGGAGCGGUGAAAUGCGCAGAUAUCAGGAGGAACACCGAUGGCGAAGGCAGGUCUCUGGGCUGUAACUGACGCUGAGGAGCGAAAGCAUGGGGAGCGAACAGG